AACGAACGCCGGCGGCACGCCUAACACAUGCAAGUCGCACGAGAAAGUCCCCGCAAGGGGACCGGGUAAAGUGGCAGACGGGUGAGUAACACGUGGGUGACCUGCCCUCAGCUCUGGGAUAAGCCUGGGAAACCGGGGUCUAAUACCGGAUAUGACUCCAUGACGCAUGUUGUGGGGUGGAAAGCCUUGUGCGGCUGAGGAUGGGCCCGCGGCCUAUCAGCUUGUUGGUGGGGGAUGGCCUACCAAGGCGACGACGGGUAGCCGGCCUGAGAGGGCGACCGGCCACACUGGGACUGAGACACGGCCCAGACUCCUACGGGAGGCAGCAGUGGGGAAUCUUGCGCAAUGGGCGAAAGCCUGACGCAGCGACGCCGCGUGAGGGAUGACGGCCUGGUGUAAC
rnacentral:rRNA from 1 species